GGCGAACGGGUGAGUAAUGUAUCGGAACGUGCCCAGUAGCGGGGGAUAACUGGCCGAAAGGUCAGCUAAUACCGCAUACGCCCUACGGGGGAAAGGGGGGGAUCGCAAGACCUCUCACUAUUGGAGCGGCCGAUAUCGGAUUAGCUAGUUGGUGGGGUAAAGGCCUACCAAGGCGACGAUCCGUAGCUGGUUUGAGAGGACGACCAGCCACACUGGGACUGAGACACGGCCCAGACUCCUACGGGAGGCAGCAGUGGGGAAUUUUGGACAAUGGGGGAAACCCUGAUCCAGCCAUCCCGCGUGUGCGAUGAAGGCCUUCGGGUUGUAAAGCACUUUUGGCAGGGAAGAAACAGCCUGGGUUAAUACCCCGGGCGACUGACGGUACCUGCAGAAUAAGCACCGGCUAACUACGUGCCAGCAGCCGCGGUAAUACGUAGGGUGCAAGCGUUAAUCGGAAUUACUGGGCGUAAAGCGUGCGCAGGCGGUUCGGAAAGAAAGGUGUGAAAUCCCAGGGCUUAACCUUGGAACUGCACUUUUAACUACCGGGCUAGAGUACGUCAGAGGGGGGUAGAAUUCCACGUGUAGCAGUGAAAUGCGUAGAGAUGUGGAGGAAUACCGAUGGCGAAGGCAGCCCCCUGGGAUGAUACUGACGCUCAUGCACGAAAGCGUGGGGAGCAAACAGGAUUAGAUACCCUGCUAGUCCACGCCCUAAACGAUGUCAACUAGCUGUUGGGGUUUAUUAACCUUGGUAGCGCAGCUAACGCGUGAAGUUGACCGCCUGGGGAGUACGGUCGCAAGAUUAAAACUCAAAGGAAUUGA
rnacentral:rRNA from 1 species